GUGCCAGCAGCCGCGGUAAGACGAACCGAGCGAACGUUAUUCGGAAUCACUGGGCUUAAAGGGUGCGUAGGCGGGCCCGCGAGUCAGGGGUGAAAUCCCACGGCCCAACCGUGGAAGUGCCUCUGAUACCGCGGGCCUAGAGGGGGACAGGGGCAUGCGGAACUUCCGGUGGAGCGGUGAAAUGCGUAGAUAUCGGAAGGAACACCGGUGGCGAAAGCGGCGUGCUGGAUCCCUACUGACGCUGAGGCACGAAAGCCAGGGGAGCAAACGGGAUUAGAAACCCCGGUAGUCC
rnacentral:rRNA from 1 species